GACUAUGUAGUUUAUUUAAAAUGUAGGUUUUGUAAGCCUAAGAUAAUGUUUUGUUUUUAGUCA
rnacentral:tRNA from 1 species